rnacentral:rRNA from 1 species
UACGUAGGUGGCAAGCGUUGUCCGGAUUUACUGGGCGUAAAGAGCGCGCAGGCGGUCGUACAAGUCGCGUGUGAAAGCCCCCGGCUCAACUGGGGAGGGUCACGCGAUACUGUUCGACUCGAAGGCAGGAGAGGGAAGUGGAAUUCCCGGUGUAGUGGUGAAAUGCGUAGAUAUCGGGAGGAACACCAGUGGCGAAGGCGACUUCCUGGCCUGUUCUUGACGCGGAGGCGCGAAAGCUAGGGGAGCAAACGGG